CCUACGGGAGGCUGCAGUAGGGAAUUUUGCGCAAUGGGGGAAACCCUGACGCAGCAACGCCGCGUGAUCGAUGAAGCCCUUCGGGGUGUAAAGAUCUGUCAGUGGGGACGAAACCUGACGGUACCCACAGAGGAAGCACCGGAGAACUCCGUGCCAGCAGCCGCGGUAAUACGGGGGGUGCAAGCGUAGCCCGGAAUCAUUGGGCGGAAAGAGUUCGUAGGUGGCACGGUAAGUCCGGUGUUAAAGGCGGAAGCUCAACUUCCGUAGGGCACUGGAUACUGGCGAGCUUGAAUGCGGUAGGGGUAAAGGGAAUUCCUGGUGUAGCGGUGAAAGGCGUAGAUAUCAGGAGGAACAUCGGUGGCGUAGGCGCUUUACUGGGCCGUAAUUGACACUGAGGAACGAAAGCCGGGGUAGCAAAUGGGAUAUGAUACCCUGGUAGUC
rnacentral:rRNA from 1 species